rnacentral:rRNA from 1 species
AUUGAACGCUGGCGGCAGGCUUAACACAUGCAAGUCGAGCGGGGGAAGGUAGCUUGCUACCGGACCUAGCGGCGGACGGGUGAGUGAUGCUUAGGAAUCUGCCUAUUAGUGGGGGACAACAUCUCGAAAGGGAUGCUAAUACCGCAUACGUCCUACGGGAGAAAGCAGGGGAUCUUCGGACCUUGCGCUAAUAGAUGAGCCUAAGUCGGAUUAGCUAGUUGGUGGGGUAAAGGCCUACCAAGGCGACGAUCUGUAGCGGGUCUGAGAGGAUGAGCCGGCACACUGGGACUGGGACACGGCCCAGCCUCCUACGGGAGGCAGCAGUGGGGAAUAUUGGACAAUGGGGGGAACCCUGAUCCAGCCAUGCCGCGUGUGUGAAGAAGGCCUUAUGGUUGUAAAGCACUUUAAGCGAGGAGGAGGCUACUUUAGUUAAUACCUAGAGAUAGUGGACGUUACUCGCAGAAUAAGCACCGGCUAACUCUGUGCCAGCAGCCGCCGUAA